ACAUCUAAAGACAGAACAAGUAACUCUACUAUAACAAACAUAAAAGGAGAAAACUACAACUUGCUAACUAUGAAUUUGAGUCCAAUUGCAGGAACAGAUAGAAAGAUAACAAAGGAACACAUGACCAGAUAGGAUUUAUUUUCAAAGCGUUAUAGCUUAUAGCCUCGGUAUAUAUAUAUAUAUAUCCAUGCUGUUCUACUCAAACCUCUUUAAACAGAGCUGAUUUACUUAGAAACAAUCAAACGGAGAAAGUUGAACUUCAGCUG
rnacentral:misc_RNA from 1 species